rnacentral:misc_RNA from 1 species
AACGCAUAUUGCGCUCUCUGGUAUUCCGGAGAGCAUGCUUGUUUGAGUAUCAGUAAACACCUCAACUCCUUUUUCUUUUUUGAAAUUGGAGCUGGACUUGAGUGAUCCCAACGCUUUCUUCCAAGAAAGUGGCGGGUUGCUUGAAAUGCAGGUGCAGCUGAACUUUUCUCUGAGCUAUAAGCAUAUCUAUUUAGUCUGCCUAAAAAACAGAUUAUUACCUUUGCUGCAGCUAACAUAAAGGAGACUAGUUCUUGUGCUGACUGAUGCAGGAUUCACAGAGGCAGCUUCGGCUGACUUUGUAAACUCGAUCUCAAAUCAAGUAAGACUACCCGCUGAACUUAA